UGGCGUUAGUAUCUAUCUGUGUUUCAAUAGCGAGUGUAAAAUUGAAUAUUAUUUUCUAAUUACACAUUGUCUAAUCCGUCUCAAAUGAACAGAUAAUACGUAUUGCAUGAAUGAAACUCGAUAUUCGCAAUAUGAUCUUCUAACUUGUAAUGACCAGUCAAGGAUUGAAUAAUACUAUCUGAGCAAAAUUAUUACACCCAGAAGACUCAAGUUUGAUAAUUCUAUGACAAAAAGUGCAAUUAGUCUCAUACUGGAAUUACCAACCUCCAAUAUGUACUCAACUAUAAUAUAUUUACUACAACUGAAAAGAUAUCUCAUCAAAUACUAUUGUGGUAUUUAUCCAAAUAUUUUCAUAAAAGAAUUACCAAUUGUUUUAUUAUUAUCUUAUAGUGUACUAUAGCCCAUUUUCACAUUUCUUUUUAUUCACUUAAUCAUUAAUUUUUGCAAUUAUAAAAACAAUUAUUUUAACUGGUUUGGUAAUGCUAGCAUUAAUAUAACAAGUAAGCCCAACUUAUCGUUUCCUGAAUAUCGAUUUACAUCGGCUCUGAGGUCAUACGAGAUCCAUCGAUCCGUACGCCAGAGAGAAAAUCACGAAUCUAUGCCAAACGUUUGUGAAAUUGAGGACAUGCACGUACACACACUUGCUCUGGGACUCUUCCCUGGUGGCAUUGUGAGGCGUCUUUCGUGGCGAAAGUUUAUUUACAGUCGGCGAGGUAUUUUCAAUUCUGAAGCAUGGCUGGAUGCACGAUUUUGCGAGACCCUUGAUCUCAGGAGAGUUGAAUUCUCACAGUGCCGACGUCCGGCGGUUUAGAUGCUUUUCAGAAUGUCCGUUUUCAUUGUAUACACGCUACUAUUUCUUUAACUUAACUUGUUUAACAGCUUCAGGAGGGACAGAUAUUAACUGGAAUUUAAUAUUUGUCACUGAUAUAUAUGUCACAGUUUAUAAGAAUAGUUGAAUGCUAUAGAAUUAUUUGUAAGUCGGAUAGAAACACUAAUUAACUAAUAUAUAACUGUUAUUUUUCAAGCAAACGUGUUUUAGGAUAUUAUCACUCUAUUGUUUCUAAAGUAUGAGUAAAUAAUAUUACUCAAACUAGGUAUUAAUACUUAGAGGGACAAUUGAUAAAUUUUUUUUCAAAGAUGCAGUUUAAUAUAAGUUGUUAAACGCGCCUUGAAAUGUUUAGUAGAUUAGCAAAAAUAGGAUAUAUUAAUGAUUAAAAGUUCUAUUUCUACUUUUCCAUCGAAUCAAAUUUUGUAUGAAAAAUUUUUUGUACUUUUAUAGUUAGAGAAAUAUUAACGCGUAUACACUUAAAUCGAACACACUGUAUGCGUAGUCUGUUGCAAGAGUAACUUCAUAAUUUGUUAUUUCUUGUCUUUAAUAGAUUCGUAGAGGUUCUUUCUAUUUUACUGUAUAUAUUAUUAUAACUUUGCACAGUUGAUUGUUCACAAUUUCUGACCAUAUACGACUAACGUAGUAUUAGACUUUCGUUUUGUUUAUGUUUAGAGUUUAGGCCAUAAUUGUAGGUACUAAUUCAAAAAAUAUAUAAAACUUCAAACACACCCACUUACAUAUUUUUCCAUUAAAAAAUCUCAUAAAAAUCUAUACAAAAAUUCUUUCAUCAAAUAAAUGAUAUAUACCAAACUUUUAUAUAACCAAAACACUGUAACAUGCUUCAAAGAUCAUAUUAAUUUACUUAGAUCUAAUUAGAACCAUAAACCUGAUUUAUAAGGUAAGCAUCUUAUUACUAUUGAAACAGACUACAUAUAACUAGUAAGUACAUCUACAUAAAUAAUGGCCUCGGCCGGGGCAGUAGCUAUACUGCGUGUUAUCGUGUAUAGUAUGGUUGUUCGUCGUUGCAGAAACAUCUUAUCUAAACUGCUGUCUUAUCGUGUAUAUUAUGGUUAUUCGUCGUAGCAGAAACAUCUUAUAUUGACUGCUGUGAAAUAGAAACGAUUUUAACGCGAUGUUCCAAAAAAACUUGACUGCACAAGAAUUUUGGCUUUGGCUGUUGUGCAGAGUGGUUAUAGGUCUCUUCUGUAUUUGCUUCUGUAUUUGUUCCUGUUGAUGAAAAAUCGUGCUCGGCGGUGAAAAACAAAUGAUUAAUUAAUAUUCACAUCUGUGGCAUUAGCGAUCUGUGCAUUUAGCGAUUUGAAAACUGUGCCAAGGUUUUUGAAAUUUUAGUAUUAAACUUUAGUGAAAAUUUUAUCAGUUUCAAACGGAAAGAUAUGAGAUUUUUCUAAUAAGAUUAUUUGUCUUUCUUCUUAAAAAAUUAUAAUCCACCUGUAUCGUAAUAUGUAUUUCAGAAGUUUUAAUAGUUAUAGUUUCCCUAGUAACGCACCAUUGUUUUUACAAUUCUAAAAAGUACUUGAAGUAUGAUAGCAUUUCGUAUUUUAAUUAACCUCCUAGAAACAAAAUUUUAUUUUCUAGCAAGGGAAUAGAGUUGUAACUAAUUUUUUUAAUUUGAAAUCCAGGAAUCAUUAUAUUAAUCGACUAAUGAUUGCAUCAAACAGUAUCAAUGAAAUCUCUGAUUCUAUAGUGAAUUAAAAUUUAAUUAAAAAAAUAGUAUUCGCUAUAAUCUAAUCUUCUUUGUAAUAAAAACAUAUAAGGGGCGAGCUCUGUUAUAUUUGACUUAAUUAUUUAUUUUCCACCACCGACACCACGUUUGACCAACAAAUACUUUCCUUGAUACUCUGCAAGUUACUCGCCAUUCUCUUAUUCCUUGCACGUCUUACAUUAACAAUAAUUAUUACCAGUAAAGUCCCUCGAACACCGUCUAAAUCCCUCCACGCUAUCUUUACACCGAUCAGUAUCCCAUCAACGAAAAACUCAGUUUCGAGCCUCCACGCAGACCGUAAAGGAAUUUCACGGUGCUCAGUUCUUUACGAUUGAGCACAUUUCACGGACAACCGUGACGAAACUUGGUAGUAUAAUAGUGGAGAAGAGAAAAGGAAGAUGAAGAGAGAAAAAGAGAAGGAAAAGAGGAGAAAGAAAGCGAAAUUGAGAUUCCCAUAAGAACACAAUUUUAAUAUCAUUUAAAUUACACAACAAAUAUUCUUUGCAUUAUACAACACAGUAUAGAUGCCCUAUUUGAAAUUAGACAUCCCAUGUGCCAAAAGGCAAAUUAAUUUUGAAAAAAAAAAGAAUUAAAGAAUUAUUGUAAGCUUAUUGAAAAUUCUCCUAAAAUAUGCAGCACACUUCUCAAAGGUACAGAACUUACAAAAAAAAAGAAAAAAGGUAUUUCAGCUAAAUAAUCUUAACUAACGGACCUAUGUCACAUCGAUAAAUAGAGAGAAUCCGAAAGUUCCUACGCAUACGUGAUCAGAAAUGUCGAACUUCGACAGGACUUUCGUCCCAUGAAGAAUACGAGACGUAAUUCCAUUUUUACAUAAUUAUGGAAGGAAUGCCUGUAUAAGCGUGUGAAAAUUUGUCGUCUGUAUUACGUGCUUAAAAUAGAACAACGAGAUAUUAACAAGUUUUUGAGCCAUCUUUUAACUUAUUAGUUGACGUAUACCUCUGAAGAUCAAUAAACGAUGGAUUAUUCGUUAAUAAAUAAUAAAAAUACUUUAUCAAUAAAGUAUCGUUAUAACAAUCGAAUACUCGAUUAAUAAUCGUUGAUAAAAUAAGGCAUUAAUUAUAGAAUAAUUUGUUAAUUACCUAAACAAGAUAUAAUUUAUGAUUCGAGUUACAUACACAAAGAGAAUAAUACUUCUGGAGUAAUUCAGUAAUUAAAAACCAAAUGCAGUUCAUGGUUGAACGAACAAUGCUCACACACUAUAAAAUAUUGAAUAUCGGCCUUCAUCGUUGUUUCUCAUUACAACGGCUAUAAUGUGUGCCACUUUCUUGCUACAUGUUUCUACGAUACGCGAUCAUUCAUACUUCGAUUCGCCUAUACUUAUUCACAACCGUUUCACGCUAUAAUAAUUCUUAAUUCGAUCUGAAGCAAAUAUCACGCAAUUAUUCAAUGAGCCUAUUUUCGAACAACGAGCGUAUUUUCUAAUGCUAGAAAGUAGGUUGAAAAGUAUAAAAUCCACUGGCAAUUUCUAUUAGAAGAAAAAAGAAAAGAUAUGGAACAAGUUUCUUUCGUCGUAACAGGGACGAUAAUUUGCAUAGACGCAAAGAAUACGCAAGAAAUUUCAACGCAAAUCUUUUACCCACGCUAGAUUAUUACGGAUAAUGACACCACGUUCUUAACUUAUUUCGCACUUGAGAGAAGUAAAAACCUUCGUACGAAUGCUUUUCAACUUCUCAGGACGAUUGGAACGCGAGGGAACACACGUGGACGUAAAGAAAGAUGUUUCGCCAGUAUUGCACCUCAGUUUGCUAAUAAAAAAAAGAGGAAGAAUAAUCAGCGAUGCUGUCUCACGGUGUAAAAGGUGCAAAGAUGUAAAAGGAAGGCGGGUUAUUGUUCUGAUACAAAGUGGCUUUUCGAGAGAGAUAAAUACCAGGGAAAAUAGUCAAGGAUGAAGAAAGCUCAACGAUGCAAAGGAAUAUAAAGAGGUGUAAUAUAUUCGACGUCUAACAAAAAGAGAUUUCUUACGUUAAAUAUUAAAUAAUAGAAAUUGAAUCGACCGAAUAACAUAAACCGAAUGAUGCUAAUUAAACCGUAAUUGAAUUUUUGAGACUUAAUGAACGAUGAAUAUAGUAACAAAAAGUAUAAGAUUUAAAAGAAACAUAGUACAAGAUAAGUACAUGGUAUUUUACAAAUUUAAAGGAAACAUAGCAAAAUAUAGUACUUUACAAAUAUUUUUUUCUCUAGAGUAUCUCAUAUCUCCCGAUAGAAGCUUGUAUAAUACACGACGACCUUGGAAAAUAGAAAUCUGAAAAAUCAUGACCACACGGAUUAGAAAAUAAAGAUUAGAAGAGAGAUUCUGUUGCAUAACUGGCAAGUACCUGUUUUUAUAACAUUUAAUAUAUUUCUGAAAUACUUUGUUGCAAAACAAAAUAGAGCGCACACACCCCCUUUCAUCUAAUCUGGCAUGGAUCUUUAGAAAGUUUCUAAACCGCCGAAUAAUCUCUUAGGCUCGUUUGGUCCAGCAUCUCAUUAAUAUUUUCAGCGAACACUCGGAGAACAAGACUGGAGUCGAGUCAAACAAGCAGCUCGUCCACACUGUUGACGUAGAUUUCACUUUUGAGAAUCUUGUCCGGUGUUUGACCAUCUGACACGUGUCAUUUAUGGCGUGUACGUGCACCAUAAAUUAAGCGGUUGUAGCUAAGGAAAUGUUUUCCCACGAUGUUAUGACGGAUAAAGAAUAGUAGCGGUGUAAUUUUUGGUUGUUACGGUAAUUAAAGAUCGUGUUCGAUGUCUUAAUUACGCGAUAAGAAACUACUUGCGAAAAUGAAUGUUACAGUAACGAAAUGUACUACUCUCCUCUUGAUAAUUUGUCGUGCAAAAAGAGCUGGAUCGUACAGGUAUUCUUUGAUUUUAAACGAUUACAAAAUAUUAUAAGUAUACUAUAAAAAGUGUUAUGAAAUGUUAGAAUUAUUACAUAGGAAUUUAUUUUA